AUUCCAAGAAUCCUCAUUCUCGCGUCCUCAAACGCGUCCUCGCUCCACCCACAUUUCGAGGAUGGGUCUGAUGGAUCCUCACAGGAGCAAGGGUAUCCCAGCAUGCUUUGCGCGCCGGCCGCUGGACUCGACACUCGCAACAACGGCGGACGGAGCGGGAGAGCAGUACAGCGUAAAAUGUAAGUUAGUUAAAAAAAAAUAGCGGUCAAAAAAAUAAAAUACAUGUUUGGGCACUUUUGGUUUGUGUUUUAUAUAAGAUCUAAUACCGCAAAUUGUUUUUUUUUUUCAUGUAAUUUAAGACUAAAACAUGCCCCACCGAAAACCAGCUUGAGUGUUUAAUAGGAAAAACCCACCGUAAACUAGCUUGAUCCCAGCAGGCUUUUUAAAAGGAAAUAGCGGUAGAAAACUAAGCUGAAAGCGGUUCUGUUUAUAGACAUUUGUCGUUUGUAUAAGUACAUUUUAAGCAGAAAUCAGCGAGAACGAGCUUGUUUGGUGGUCCCGUCAUAAUUCCCGUGUGUGUGUGUUUAUUUAGCGAAUAAAGCUUCUCAUCAUUUGUUUUAAGGUUAACACCCCACCGUAAACUUGCUUGAAAGUCUAAUAAGAAAAAACUCACCGUAAAAGAGCUUGCAUCUUAUGUAAUCAUGUAACGAACGCCAAAAAUAAUGAAAACUAAGUUUAAUGUUUAUUUAAGUUAAUUUUUAAGAAACCACAUUACUGAUUUAAUGUUUUUAAUUUCAUUUUAGGCGGAAAAAAACACAGAACACAAUUUUCAUCUCCCAUGUUGAUAAAUUAAAAUAUUGUUUAUUGCAUGUUUUAUCAACUAUGAUUUAUAAUCUGACUUUGUUCUUCUAUUCCUCUCUAUUCUCAUCCAGAACCAGUACCUUUAAGGAGCAUCUGUAGUUUCAUUAUGCCCACAGUGUUCUCUGUUGUUAAAUGACAAUAAAGCCUUGUAAUUCUAAUUCCCUUUGUCUGUAGGACUGCAAGUAUCCAGGGUCAGGAGAGGGAGUCAGCGGAAAGCCCACUGCUGAAACCUGGCCCUGGUUUGUCCCCAUGGACGAGGUGUUGGGACAGAGGCCUUCCACUAUGCCUCCUGUCCUUAUUGCUUCCAUUCCCGAGGACACUCCAGGGCCAAGUGCAGCAGUGGGUGAGACAGAGGACAGGGAGAGUGGUGGAAGGAAGCCGGACUCCUCAUCAGGGAGAAAAAGGAGAAGGGCUGAUGAACUCCUUGACCUGAUCAGGGAGGACAUGAGACAACAGAGGGAAGCGGAGGAGAGGAGAGAAAGAAGGAUGGACAGAUUUUUAGCAUUGAUGGAAAGGAUGGCAGAGAAAUGGGUUUUUUUUCUUUUAGUUUCUUCUGGUUCAGGUUCUAUAUAUGUGUUUGAAUGUUUUUGUUAUUUGUUUAAAUGUAAUAAAAUUUCUAUUAAUUGAUAACUCUUUUUUUGAUCAUUAACAGUUUUAUUAUUCAGUUUUUAAAAAGUAACAACAUAGUAAAUAAAUUGUAAGGGAACACUGUAAGGAAUAAAAGUAAAGAUAAAAGUAAAAUAUAUACAGUAAACUUGGAAAGCAGGGAGUCUUUGGUGGUGUUGCUAAAUCUACUAAACAUGGAUCGAGGUGGAUGGAGUGCAGGAACCGAGAUCCGUGGCUGAACGUUUCUGGAUGGCAAGUGGAACAUCAGACAGAGUGGUCUGCAGAGGGAGCUUCUGGAUGCGUCAUCUCACUGUCCACUGCAUCGUCCAUCAAAAGGGUUUGCUGGGCUGGCUCAAUCGACGGCUGUCACAUCACUAACAUUCAGAUAUAUGCAAAAAAGGAGAUCAUGAGUAUGAUACUUGUAACGCUAGCAGAUAACAGGACUAAAUGAUUUUUAAACUUUAAAUACAAAGGCCGGUGACGUUUAUUGAGCCGUCGCAGCUCCUCAAAAACCACAAAUAAAAUGAAAUAUUGCUGUGGAUCCAUUUUCAACGUCGCUACUAGCUUGUUAGCCUGUUUGCCGCCGUCACGGUAGCUAGGCAACUUGACCUGGGGGCGGGAAUAAAAACGAGGCUAGUACUGUCCGAAUUCAGAGCCGCUGACUUCCGGUUUUAGCGGUCUUGCAAGGACCAGGCCUUGCUAGACCGGCGAGGACCCGUACUCACAAGCAUCCUACCCCUGGAUUCGGACACAGCCUGUUUACCCGGUGGAUUUUUGAAUAAAAGAUUAAAAAUAAUUUAAAUGGGACCCGAAGAAGUUCUUGAGGACGCCAAACGGAAAAGACGCUAAGAGACGAAGGUAAGCAAUACAGUUUAUUUUCCUGACAUCAAUGUUUUGAUCGUAGUCGCGCGUUUCUGUCAUUUACUUUUAAGUUCCUAACUGAGUCUAUCCACAGUUAAUACUGACUUGUUGUUCCUUUGUAACAUUAACUGUAAAAUAAAAACGAAGUUGCUGCAUUUUAAGCCUUAGACACGUUGAGAUUAGAUCACAGUAUUCAUUUAUCUAUGACUUUCUCGCAGCACUGACUGGAAGCAUCAGCGGCAAUGAAAAGAAAAAUGGACAUUUUGUCCUUUUUUACCGCUGUUUAUAAAGAACAGCGUAGACAGAGAGAGGAUGAAAGUCACGAGGGAGCUGAGAAGCAGGAUGAAAGAGAAGGAGGAGAUGGUUGGAGAGGAACCAGAGAGGUCAGAGGUUGUCCACCCUGAGAGUGAGGAGGAGGAAGAUGUAGGCUGUGAGGGAGAGAGUGAGGAGCAAAAAGAGGGACAUCUGCUGUCAUGUGCACCGUGUACACUACCGUCAGGUUUGUGGGUGUUGAAUCUGUGAUUGCAGCUCAUGUUGUGUGUAAAAUGCAUUUGAGGCAUGCUGACUCUGGACCAAAAUUUCUGUUGUUUAUAUUUAAUAAAUAGAUAAAAUAAGACUCUGAAUUAACUAAUUAUGACUUUUAUCCUCAUGCUAACAUUUAUUUUCUUUCAGAUAUCAGCAAGUGCAAGGAGGACCCACCUACUCAGCCUAGUUUGAGGACAUUUCCAGGGACAUUAAUAGGAGACAGAAGACGCAUUUAGCCAAGCUGACUUGUGCUUGAAGCUGUGCUCCUGGAGGUGAUCCUAACAGAAGGAGAUGCAGCUUACCUGUCAUUGGCACUGACCUGCAACCACUUCAUCACCAUUGUUUCAGAUCCUGUUUUUAGGAAGAAGGCCCACUUUGCCUGGCUGGAUGGUGAGAUUCACUGGAGCAGGUUUUCUGCAACCUUCAAGUCUGAGCACGGUCUAUACAAAGACUGUGUGGGCUUCACGGGAAAAGGACGAAGAGGAAAGUACCCUCGCUAUUACUCUGGUGGGAUACCUGGACACUGCCCUGGCUGUCAGCAUUGAGCAUGUUCAAAUGUUCAAACAUUGCCAAAUAGUCCAGUGAAACAUUUCUGCAGCAAGUGCACUCACAUGUGUUUUUUGUAAUGUUGAAAAGAACUGCUGCUGUUUAGAUUUUUUGAAACAAUAUCCUGUUGUUCCUCUGUUUGAGAAUAAAGUUUCUUGAAAAAUU